GACGAACGCUGGCGGCGUGCUUAACACAUGCAAGUCGUACGGUAAGGCCCUUUCGGGGGUACACGAGUGGCGAACGGGUGAGUAACACGUGAGUAACCUGCCCACAACUUUGGGAUAACGCUAGGAAACUGGUGCUAAUACUGGAUAUGUGCUCCUGCUGCAUGGUGGGGGUUGGAAAGCUCCGGCGGUUGUGGAUGGACUCGCGGCCUAUCAGCUUGUUGGUGGGGUAGUGGCCUACCAAGGCGGCGACGGGUAGCCGGCCUGAGAGGGUUACCGGCCACAUUGGGACUGAGAUACGGCCCAGACUCCUACGGGAGGCAGCAGUGGGGAAUAUUGCACAAUGGGCGCAAGCCUGAUGCAGCAACGCCGCGUGCGGGAUGACGGCCUUCGGGUUGUAAACCGCUUUCAGCAGGGACGAAGCUUUUUGUGACGGUACCUGCAGAAGAAGCACCGGCUAACUACGUG
rnacentral:rRNA from 1 species